rnacentral:rRNA from 1 species
CACGAACGCUGGCGGCGUGCUUAACACAUGCAAGUCGAACGCGAAAACCCUUCGGGGUGAGUAGAGUGGCGAACGGGUGAGUAACACGUGGGCAACCUGCCCCAAGGAGCGGGACAACCCGGGGAAACUCGGGCUAAUACCGCAUGAUUCGCCGGCACUCAAGUGCCGGCGGCAAAUGGUAUCUUCGGCCUCCGCCUUGGGCUGGGCCCGCGGCGCAUUAGCUUGUUGGUGAGGUAACGGCUCACCAAGGCGACGAUGCGUAGCUGGUCUGAGAGGACGAUCAGCCACACUGGGACUGAGACACGGCCCAGACUCCUACGGGAGGCAGCAGUGGGGAAUCUUGCGCAAUGGGCGGAAGCCUGACGCAGCAACGCCGCGUGUGGGAAGACGGCCCUCGGGUUGUAAACCACUUUCAGGGGGGACGAAGCUUCCAGGGUUAAUAGCCCAUGGGGUGACGGUACCCCCAGAAGAAGCCCCGGCUAACUACGUGCCAGCCGCCGCUGUAAAAC